GCAAGUCGAGCGGUAGAGAGAAGCUUGCUUCUCUUGAGAGCGGCGGACGGCUGAGUAAUGCCUAGGAAUCUGCCUGGUAGUGGGGGAUAACGUUCGGAAACGGACGCUAAUACCGCAUACGUCCUACGGGAGAAAGCAGGGGACCUUCGGGCCUUGCGCUAUCAGAUGAGCCUAGGUCGGAUUAGCUAGUUGGUGGGGUAAUGGCUCACCAAGGCGACGAUCCGUAACUGGUCUGAGAGGAUGAUCAGUCACACUGGAACUGAGACACGGUCCAGACUCCUACGGGAGGCAGCAGUGGGGGAUAUUGGACAAUGGGCGAAAGCCUGAUCCAGCCAUGCCGCGUGUGUGAAGAAGGUCUUCGGAUUGUAAAGCACUUUAAGUUGGGAGGAAGGGCAGUAAAUUAAUACUUUGCUGUUUUGACGUUACCGACAGAAUAAGCACCGGCUAACUCUGUGCCAGCAGCCGCGGUAAUACAGAGGGUGCAAGCGUUAAUCGGAAUUACUGGGCGUAAAGCGCGCGUAGGUGGUUAGUUAAGUUGGAUGUGAAAUCCCCGGGCUCAACCUGGGAACUGCAUUCAAAACUGACUGACUAGAGUAUGGUAGAGGGUGGUGGAAUUUCCU
rnacentral:rRNA from 1 species